GACGAACGCUGGCGGCGUGCUUAACACAUGCAAGUCGAACGGAAAGGCCCUGCUUUUGUGUGGUGCUCGAGUGGCGAACGGGUGAGUAACACGUGAGUAACCUGCCCUUGACUUUGGGAUAACUUCAGGAAACUGGGGCUAAUACCGGAUAGGAGCUCCUGCUGCAUGGUGGGGGUUGGAAAGUUUCGGCGGUUGGGGAUGGACUCGCGGCUUAUCAGCUUGUUGGUGGGGUAGUGGCUUACCAAGGCUUUGACGGGUAGCCGGCCUGAGAGGGUGAACGGCCACAUUGGGACUGAGAUACGGACCAGACUCCAACGGGAGGCAGCAGGGGGAAAUCUUGCACAAUGGGGGGAAGCGUGAUGCAGAAAUGCCGCGUGCGGGAUGACGGCUUUCGGGGUGUAAACCGCUUUCGCCUGUGACGAAGCGUGAGUGACGGUAAUGGGUAAAGAAGCACCGGCUAACUACGUG
rnacentral:rRNA from 1 species